AUUGAACGCUAGCGGGACGAUUUACACAUGCAAGUCCAACGGAGUGACGCACGGGUGACUAAUAUAUCGGAACGUGCCCAGUAGCGGGGGAUAACUACUCGAAAGAGUGGCUUAUAGCGCAUACUAUUAGAGCGGCCGAUAUCGGAUUAGCUAGUUGGUGGGGUAAAGGCUCACCAAGGCAACGAUCCGUAGCUGGUUUGAGAGGAUGACCAGCCACACUGGGACUUAUACACGGCCCAGACUCCUACGGGAGGCAGCAGUUGGGAAUUUUGGACAAUGGGUGAAACCCUGCUCCAGCCAUCCCGCUGGUAUGAUGAAGGCCUUCGGGUUUGAAAGUACUUUUGUCAGAGGAGCGGUAUCUGCAGAAUAAGCGCCGGCUAACUACGUGCCAGCCGCCGCGGUAAUUC
rnacentral:rRNA from 1 species